rnacentral:rRNA from 1 species
CAGCCACAUUGGGACUGAGACACGGCCCAAACUCCUACGGGAGGCAGCAGUGGGGAAUAUUGGACAAUGGAGGAAACUCUGAUCCAGCAAUACCAUGUGUGUGAAGAAGGCCUUAGGGUUGUAAAGCACUUUAGUUAGGGAGGAAGGUCUGUUAGUUAAUAGCUAAUGGAAUUGACGUUACCUAAAGAAUAAGCACCGGCUAACUCCGUGCCAGCAGCCGCGGUAAUACGGGGGGUGCAAGCGUUAAUCGGAAUUACUGGGCGUAAAGGGUCUGUAGGUGGUUUGAUAAGUCAGAUGUGAAAGCCCAGGGCUCAACCUUGGAACUGCAUUUGAUACUGUCAAGCUAGAGUAUAGUAGAGGAAUGGGGAAUUUCUGGUGUAGCGGUGAAAUGCGUAGAGAUCAGAAGGAACACCGAUG